UUUUGAAAUGACCUUCGACUUAAGGGCUCAUUCAGAUACCCGAGACGGAGACAGACGAAGCGCAACAGUUGGCACGCUCUCAUUACUCGCGUUGAUCUAUUAUCUUGGUCCGCAGUCCGCACGCCGCAACGGAUUUGCGAGUAAUUUUCAUAACU
ensembl:ncRNA C34H3.19 ncRNA